rnacentral:lncRNA from 1 species
GUGACUAUGUCCCAUACUUCUAUUGGAAAGUGUUGGCUAUGAGCUUAAAACUCUGCACCCUAUCUCAUGCUAUGUGACAUUCACAGCUAGCCUGUACAAGUCUAGUCAACAGCAGUAUAUUAGGAACUGUUGCCUAUGAGCUUAAAACUCUGCACCCUAUCUCAUGCUAUGUGACAUUCACAGCUAGCCAGUACAAGUCUAGUCAACAGCAGUAUAUUAGGAACUGUUGCCUAUGAGCUAACAAAUGAAGCACUUUAUGUUUUGUCUAUAAUAAUAAAUAAAUAAAUAAAAGAUUAAACAGUUAAACUAAUUUGCUCAAAAAACAGGUUCAUGUUUCAACUUUGAUAACAGGUUUUAGGAGAUGAAUCAUGAAAUUAGUUUAAUUGUGGGAUUUUGUAUUCAAGGAU